UACGUAGGGGGCAAGCGUUAUCCGGAUUUACUGGGUGUAAAGGGAGCGUAGACGGCAGUGCAAGUCUGGAGUGAAAGGCGGGGGCUCAACCCCCGGACUGCAUUGGAAACUGCAUGGCUGGAGUGCAGGAGAGGUAAGCGGAAUUCCUAGUGUAGCGGUGAAAUGCGUAGAUAUUAGGAGGAACACCAGUGGCGAAGGCGGCUUACUGGACUGUAACUGACGUUGAGGCUCGAAAGCGUGGGGAGCAAACAGG
rnacentral:rRNA from 1 species